GAUGAACGCUAGCUACAGGCUUAACACAUGCAAGUCGAGGGGUAACGAGAGGAAAGCUUGCUUUCCUUGUCGACGACCGGCGCACGGGUGAGUAACGCGUAUCCAACCUGCCCCCAACUAGGGAAUAACCUUGCGAAAGUAAGACUAAUACCCUAUAAUUUCCUCAGAUGUCAUCUGACGAGGAAUAAAGAUUUAUCGGUUGUGGAUGGGGAUGCGUCUGAUUAGCUUGUUGGCGGGGAAACGGCCCACCAAGGCAACGAUCAGUAGGGGUUCUGAGAGGAAAGUCCCCCACAUUGGAACUGAGACACGGUCCAAAUGCCUACGGGAGGCAGCAGGGAGGAAUAUUGGUCAAUGGGCGGAAGCCUGAACCAGCCAAGUAGCGUGCAGGAUGACGGCCCUAUGGGUUGUAAACUGCUUUUAUACAGGAAUAAAGUUAGCCACGUGUGGUUAUUUGUAGGUACUGUAUGAAUAAGGACCGGCUAAUUCCGUGCCAGCCGCCGCGGUAA
rnacentral:rRNA from 1 species